AGGGAGGAAUAAAUUCCUUGCCCGGAGAUUCGUCACUCGUUCGUCCCACGGUUGUGUUUUCAGUCAUCAUGGAACCACACAUAGCUGCUGUGUGUGUUUUAUAUGCGCUACAGUCAAUUAUGAUUGUAUUUCAUAUAUUGGCUGGAAGACAAUGCAUCCGCAGACAUCGAGUACUAGCCAUUCGACAAUAUCUGGCCCCGGAGUGAACAGAAUUGUGCACUUGAUCACAAACGAUGGCUAAGGGGCUUACGUUGCCAACUUCCCUUGCUUGGCUAAUUGUUUGGACCGACGACAAAUAUGGCUGCUGGGAUUCCCCCAAGGGCAUAAGGCGAGGCAACUUGAAGGUGAAUGGGGAAAUGAGUGAACAUGAGGAGGAUGAUAGGGCACCGACAAGCAGUUCCAGGAAGUGGAUCAUCAAUGCUUGGAACCCGUUGUGAUAAUAAAUAUUAGCGAUAGCGAUAUUACUGUGCAACAUUCUAUUUUCUCCCAAGAUUGCAAGACCGUUCGUAUGUUGAUGUAGAGCCUUGCGGAUUGUAUUGUCCAAUCAUAGAGCAGAUACAAGCCACAUGAUCUGCGAGCGAAUACAUAAUGGCAGCUGACAGCAGAUCACGUGACUUGCAUCUGCUCUGUGACUGGACGACACAUACCUCAAUGCUGUAUGGGAUAAGUAGUUUGUUUCCCCUCAACACCGAUAGUUCUGGAACCACAACCAUGAAAUGAGGGGCGGCCCGUCAAAGCCCUACGGAGGAGUUGGUGGCUGCCUGGUACUCUGGAAUGCUGUUGUUCAGGCCUCUAGUUUCCUGAGACAUCCUCUCUUCUAGACAUUCCUCCAGCCAUGAAAAUGUAUAUCUAUUACAACCACAGAGGAGAUUUGUUUGUGUGGACUCCUGAGAAAACCAGCACACCAGGCUGUCGUCUUGGGAAACAGUGGAUGUAAAGAAUCUAGCUAGCUAAAGCAUUUACUGUAAACUGUAUGUACAAUUGUGUAAGCUUGCCUUGCAAUGCAGCUGAAGUAACAUAGCUAGUUAACUGUUUACUUGCUUAUUGUGUAGUGGAGGAUAAAAAUAACUGAAUGCCUAUGGAUGUGUAGCUAG